rnacentral:tRNA from 1 species
CCAGGGGUGGCAGAGUGGACAAUUGCACCAGUCUGUAAAACUGGCGGGUUUAUACCCUACGGAGGUUCGAAUCCUCCCCCCUGGA